UCCUUACCAGAACCUGUCCACAAAAUACAUGGAGAAAAGGUAACAAAUCGGGUAAAGUACAUUGAAGACACCCAGGGGUGUAGCACAAAAGCUGGGCCCUGCACACAAGCAUUAUCCGAGGGCCCCUCUCGUUUUCAUUAAAAAAUUGAAUGAAAACUAGGUUGUAUUUGUUAAAAUGUGUGACUCAAGUUACACACUUUAACAAAUACAACCAGCGGUUCAAGGGUAUGGAGUACUUAAAACCCAAACCCAAUCUGAUAAAAAACGAAAGGCUUGAAUCAGCUGGCAGCCCUAUGCCCUAUCCAUAUAUGUAAGGACCAAGGUCGAAAGCUAGAAAUGGAAACUAAUUUAAUAAAUGUGUAAUUUAAAAAUGUUUCACCAGAGGGCAUCCCUGAGCAGUGGAAGUGAGGUGAGGUGAUUCAAUUGAUUCACACUUUCGGGGUACGCAGACUUUGUUUGAGGUAUGUUGAAUGGGUGAGACAAAGGACCAAACAAACUAAACUGGGUGCGCAUCAAUGUAAAGAUGACCGCAUAGACGCUAUUGUGGGGCCCCCAAAAUGCCCCAAUGCAUAUAUUUUGUCCCCAUAUUUAUAAUUUUUAUAAAAAUCUCUUCACAAUAGUAGCAUCGGGAUGUCUAAUUACUGUCUAAUAUGUUUUGACGAUCUUUCCGUGUGCACCCCCCUUCAGUCUGCACUACAUGGACUAUUCCAUGUAGUGCGCACAAUGAAGUCAAAUUCAAAACAGUAAAGAGAAAUCGAGUGAGACAUAAAUCGAGUGAAACAUGAAGCGAUCGUACGAAAGCGGGUCACAUAAAAAGAAGAAGAAAGACCAAAGGCAGGACUUUCUUUCAAAGCUACCAAAGCUAUCCAGCUUUUUUAC